rnacentral:sRNA from 2 species
AGAAAGUGUACCUAGGGUUCCACGCCGGCUUACCGGCGGCUCGGUCCAAGCGGUACAGGCAGCGCAGCAACAGCGCGGCUACACCGGUCGGGAUAAAAGCCCAGGCGGG